rnacentral:pre_miRNA from 1 species
UUGGUUGAAACUUAUGUGAGUCUCACACUUUGGAAAUGGAUCCCACAUAAAGUGACGAGACCCACAUAAGUUUCACCCAA